CCUACGGGAGGCAGCAGUAGGGAAUCUUCCGCAAUGGACGAAAGUCUGACGGAGCAACGCCGCGUGAGCGAUGAAGGCCUUCGGGUCGUAAAGCUCUGUUGUUAGGGAAGAAUAAGUGCUAGUUGAAUAAGCUGGCACCUUGACGGUACCUAACCAGAAAGCCACGGCUAACUACGUGCCAGCAGCCGCGGUAAUACGUAGGUGGCAAGCGUUGUCCGGAAUUAUUGGGCGUAAAGCGCGCGCAGGCCGUUUCUUAAGUCUGAUGUGAAAGCCCCCGGCUCAACCGGGGAGGGUCAUUGGAAACUGGGAAACCUUGAGUGCAGAAGAGGAAAGUGGAAUUCCAAGUGUAGCGGUGAAAUGCGUAGAGAUUUGGAGGAACACCAGUGGCGAAGGCGACUUUCUGGUCUGUAACUGACGCUGAGGCGCGAAAGCGUGGGGAGCAAACAGGAUUAGAUACCCUGGUAGUCCACGCUGUAAACGAUGAGUGCUAAGUGUUAGAGGGUUUCCGCCCCUUUAGUGCUGAAGUUAACGCAUUAAGCACUCCGCCCUGGGGAGUACGGUCGCAAGACUGAAACUCAAAGGAAUUGACGGGGGCCCGCACAAGUGGUGGAGCAUGUGGUUUAAUUCGAAGCAACGCGAAGAACCUUAC
rnacentral:rRNA from 1 species